CAACUGAGUUUGGCAGACGAGGUUGGUGACAUUUGUGCUGCAGAAAUUAUUGUCAUGGACAUUCGCAUACUGCUAAUUUCCGUAUACAUUUCUCCAGAUUCGACGACCAAGCAGAAGAAAUAUUUUCUGACGCGCAACUUAAUGAUGUACACCAGAACAGACAUGCCCAUUGUCGUAACUGGCGAUUUCAACAUCGACGUAUCUAAGCCAGAAAACGCAGAUUUCGUCGAUUUCAUGAAGAAAGGUCUUAAAUUUGAUCUUGCUUCUGAUCCCACACAAGCGACUACUCUAGGUGGUACUUGCCUCGAUUUGACUUUCACCAGGAACAUUCGGGCCACAUGCAAACGAUAUUGUGCAUACUUUUCAUAUCACCGGCCCAUGCUGUCGGUGAUUGAAAUAUAAUCAUGUUUGCACUCAAAUGGCAGCAUAAAUGAACAGUGGAAGAGCAGCAAACAUCGCAACGUAGAAAUUUCUAUGUUACUAACAC